GGGAUGACACAGUAGGAUAAGCUAAGCACACUGUUGGUUAUGUGUGCCCAAGCAUUGAGGCAGUCAAAGUAGGCAAAUCCGCUUUGAUAAUGCUGGGAUGUGAUGGGGAGCGAAAUUUAGUAGCGAAGUAGCUGAUUUCACACUGUCAAGAAAAGUCUCUAUCGAGGUUAAAGGUACCCGUACCGCAAACCGACACAGGUGGGUGAGGAGAGUAUCCUAAGGCCAGCGAGAGAACUGUUGUUAAGGAACUCGGCAAAAUGACCCCGUAACUUAGGGAUAAGGGGUGCCACCAUCAGGUGGCCGCAGAGAAUAGGCCCAAGCGACUGUUUACCAAAAACAUAGGUUUCUGCUAAGUCGCAAGACGAUGUAUAGGAGCUGACGCCUGCCCGGUGCUGGAAGGUUAAGGGGAUCUGUUAGAGCAAUCGAAGCAGUGAACUUAAGCCCCAGUAAACGGCGGCCGUAACUAUAACGGUCCUAAGGUAGCGAAAUUCCUUGUCGGGUAAGUUCCGACCCGCACGAAAGGCGUAACGAUUUGGGCACUGUCUCAACAACAGACUCGGUGAAAUUGUAAUUCCGGUGAAGAUGCCGGAUACCUGCGACAGGACGGAAAGACCCCAUGGAGCUUUACUGUAGCUUGACAUUGGGUCUUGGUACUACAUGUACAGGAUAGGUGGGAGGCUUUGAAACCAGGACGCCAGUUUUGGCGGAGCCAUCCUUGGGAUACCACCCUUGUAGUACUGGGACUCUAACCAUAGGCCAUGAAUCUGGUCUUGGGACACUGUCAGGUGGGCAGUUUGACUGGGGCGGUCGCCUCCCAAAAGGUAACGGAGGCGCUCAAAGGUUCUCUCAGUACGGUCGGAAAU
rnacentral:rRNA from 1 species